rnacentral:piRNA from 1 species
UCCUACAUUUUCUCUUUGGUAUAAGCUGG